UUCAAGAAACCCUAACUAUAAGUAGCAAGGGUUGGUCCAAAGCGCCUCGCUCAGUCUCUCUUUCAGCCUUUCAUUUCCAUUUUCCAAACCAUUCCUCUCUUUCAAAUCCUUGAUACACAGCGCCUCCAAAUCCUUCCUCUGCAGUCGACGGAGGACGGCGGGACAUCGACGUCGGUCUGCAGUCGACUUGAGGUCUCGACAUCGACUUGACGUCGCCCCGCUGUCCCGCCAUACUCCGUCAACGACAUCGGUCUGCAGUCGACGUAAGGUCUCGCUGUCCCGCCGUCCUCGACAUCAUCCUACCGUCAUCUACAUCGAUCUGAUCCCGACGUCGUACCGCCGUCCUCGACAUCAUCCUACCGUCAUCGACAUCGAUCUGAUCCCGACGUCGUCCCGCCGUCCUCCGUCAUCGACAUCGGUCUGCAGUCGAGAUCGGCUGAUUCCCUAUCCUUCGCCAAAAUGCAUCAGUUUAAUGAACAUCAUAUUAAGCCUUCUAUGUUGAGAAAUGCUACUGGAUGCUUUCGAAGAGCAAAUCACAACCCGCAAUCGAUCAGGUUGUUCUCUCUGACCGCUGAUUUGAAUUUUCUCUCGUCUUUUUAGAUACUUACAUGUCAUAUCUGCAUGAGUAUGGUUAAUCCAAUUAAGCAUUUUUUUAUAGUUUAUAUAGUAAAUUUUAUAUGGAAUUAGUUAUUGGAACUUACCAUAGCUUAACUUAAUCUUGUUUUGCCCCUUUGCUGUGACACCUCAAUUUGACCACAUGCUAUCAUAUGACAUUGUCAAUUUCUGGUUUUUAUCUUUUAAAAUAUUGCACAACACUUUCAAUUAUUUGUGGUCUUAUUCACUAGGCGGAGGCUCUCUCUUACCUCUCCAAUGGUACAAUGAUGACAUACGGACUGUUAUGGAUGCGGGGUAUUCCCCAAGCUGGUUGAUCUUCUGCAGUGAGGAUUUUAUAAUUUUACACUGUAGAAGAUCAACUAGCUUGGGGAACACCCCACAGCCAUAACAGUCUGUAUGUCAUCAUGUGUACCGUUGGAGAGGUAAGAGAAAGCCUCACAUGCAUCAACGAACACGUCUAUGCAAUAUUUUAAAAGAUAAAAACCAGAAAUUCACAAUGUCAAAAAUGUGUGUAUGAAUUUUACAAAAUUGGUCAAAUUGAGGUGUCACGGCAAAGUGGCAAAACAAGAUUAAACCGAUUACAGCAAGUUCAAUAACUAAUUCCAUAUUAAUUUUAUUUUAUAAACUAUAAAAAAAAUGCUUAAUUGGAUUAACCAUACCCAAGCAGCACAUAUGACGGGUGAACAACCUGAUCGAAUGCGGGUUGUGGUUUGCCCCCACAUAGAUGCUGAGGGGCUGGAUGAGAUUUUGGGAUGCGGAUUGAAGUUCAACUGAAGUUCUGUAUGAUUUUGGUUGCUGAUUGUUAGGUCAUUGAAGUUGCUGAAUAGGCUCGGGAUUAUAUUAGACAAUUCUGUCUUUUGUAUAGGGGGUUCCACGGUUGGAGGUCCUUGUAGUCAUAUUUCUAGAAUUUCUUCCUUUGUACAUGUUACCGGGAAAUGUUGCCCAAAUCCUGAGAGUUUUAUCAAGAAAUUUAAAGAAAAAAUGGCUAUAAACUCGACUCGAUAUUGAAGUAAAACGAAUGGCAAGCAUUAUGAUUA